rnacentral:rRNA from 1 species
UGAGCCAAGUUUAGGGUUUUCUCAAAACCCAAGCAGUAUUGAACUGAAGAGUUUGAUCAUGGCUCAGAUUGAACGCUGGCGGCAGGCCUAACACAUGCAAGUCGAGCGGAUGAAGGGAGCUUGCUCCUGGAUUC